AUUGAACGCUGGCGGCAUGCUUUACACAUGCAAGUCGGACGGAGUGGCGAACGGGUGAGUAACACGUGGGUGACCUGCCCUGCACUUCGGGAUAAGCCUGGGAAACUGGGUCUAAUACCGGAUAGUGUGGGAUGGGCCCGCGGCCUAUCAGCUUGUUGGUGGGGUAAUGGCCUACCAAGGCGGCGACGGGUAGCCGGCCUGGGAGGGUGGACGGCGACAAUGGGACGGAGACACGGCCCAGACUCCUACGGGAGGCAGCAGUGGGGAAUAUUGCACAAUGGGCGGAAGCCUGAUGCAGCGACGCCGCGUGGGGGAUGACGGCCUUCGGGUUGUAAACUCCUUUCACCAUCGACGCGGUAGAUGGAGAAGAAGCACCGGCUAACUACGUGCCAGCAGCCGCGGUAAUUC
rnacentral:rRNA from 1 species